UGCACACACAAGCACCACAACACAAAAGAAGGUUAGUGCAAAGAAUGUAACUGUGAAUAUCCGCAGACCCUUUAGAGGAAAAAAAAGAUACUAAUAAAAAAGAAUAUAACCGUAUUAAAUGUGGUAUUGAAGAUUGAUUCAAUAAAAGAUAUAUCAGGUUUUUACUAUGUACAGAUUUAAAUAACAUAAGAAAUUGGGACUCAGAAAUGGAAUAAAUUAAAAUUAUUUCCCUGAAAUGGGCAAGCCUGGACGUUUUAAUGGCUCAAUCUUGUCUUUUUAAUAAAAACAUAUGGCGACAAACCAUUUGUUCCGUUGUCCUCCACAUCUUUUCCACCAAAGUGCAUUAAUAGAGGGAGACAGCGCCCCCGCUGUGGUUACGGCCACAGGUGGAGCUGCACCCUCACACGCGGUGCCAACAGGACGCGUGAAUUGAUUAACUUUGAUCAUCGGUAUCAACCAAUCGGUCACUAUGUUGUGACCUGUAAAUCUUCGAACGGACAAGUGUUUGGGAAGUUAUACUAAAAACAAAUGUAGUUAAUAUCAGGGUUAAUUGACACCAGAGUAGCCGUAAGCCUGUUGCAAGCUAACGCUCCUGUGGAGCGAUGCUAACAGCUACAUAUAUUAGCGAAAACAACAAAAACAAACUAAAAGGUCAAAUCCGAGCAUCAACAACUGUAAAGACACUAUGUGACCUCGUCCCCAUCAUUGGAAGAAGGACCGGACGCGCUGCACUACACCCUGCGAAGAGAAGGAACGCCACCAAACACGGGGCCAUUUCUUAGGACUGAGUGCACCUUUUUGGCCGGAGAAUGUGUUUAAAUAACAGGAAGGAGGGGACACGUCAUCGCAAAGAAGGUGUGAACAGGAUUUGGUUACACGAGGGCACAAAAGGUGGACAGAAACCCCCUCCUCCCCCAAACAGGCUUUGAUUAUGGUCACAACAAAGGAUCAACAGAAUUAGAGUUUAAGUACAAUAAUGAUCAGCACUGCAACAACACAUGUUUUACAAAAGUAUCUAGUUUUAAUCCUUCCUCCUUUCCUCCUGCUUUUCCUAGUCUGAGUUUUUUUUAGUUUAUUUUUUUACCAGAACCAUUUUUCUCAAAUAGAAAUAUGGGACACAUUCUUUGAAAUAAAUAAACAGCGGCCACUAGAAGGUGCCCUUGUUCUAAAGACCAAUGCAUAGCGUUUAAAAGCCUUUAAAUGGAUAUUCUAGUCAAAGCAGUGAAUAGUUUGGUCAUUUUGUUACUUUGCAAAGUUGAAUCCUGAAGCCAUUAGGUUUAUUUCAAAAACAAUUUUCUACUUCAAAUUGUUAGUAAAAUGCUUUUUUUUUUAGCUGACAGCGGUGUCAGCUACGAUUUGGCUGAAGU